rnacentral:tRNA from 1 species
UCCCUGAUGGUCCAGUAGUUAGUACUCCAUGCUUUCACUGUCUAGAGCCUGGGUUCAAUCCCUGGUCAGGGAA